GUAUUUAACUGAAUAAUACUGCAGACAGUGGGUACAAACCUUCUUACGUCAUGUCAUGGCGGGACCACGGAAGGGCAAUGUAAAUCCCACCGAGGUAAAAUGUAAUUACGAAUGAAUAUUCGUAAAUUGUCUGCGGUAAAUUCCGUGGAUUUUAUUUUUAAUUUU
rfam:Candidatus Spechtbacteria bacterium RIFCSPLOWO2_02_FTLL_38_8 rifcsplowo2_02_scaffold_53633, whole genome shotgun sequence.